AGUGAACGCUGGCGGUAGGCCUAACACAUGCAAGUCGAACGGCAGCACAGUAAGAGCUUGCUCUUACGGGUGGCGAGUGGCGGACGGGUGAGGAAUACAUCGGAAUCUACUUUUUCGUGGGGGAUAACGUAGGGAAACUUACGCUAAUACCGCAUACGACCUACGGGUGAAAGCAGGGGAUCUUCGGACCUUGCGCGAUUGAAUGAGCCGAUGUCGGAUUAGCUAGUUGGUGGGGUAAAGGCCCACCAAGGCGACGAUCCGUAGCUGGCCUGAGAGGAUGAUCAGCCACACUGGAACUGAGACACGGUCCAGACUCCUACGGGAGGCAGCAGUGGGGAAUAUUGGACAAUGGGCGCAAGCCUGAUCCAGCCAUACCGCGUGGGUGAAGAAGGCCUUCGGGUUGUAAAGCCCUUUUGUUGGGAAAGAAAAGCAGCAGGUUAAUACCCCGCUGUUCUGACGGUACCCAAAGAAUAAGCACCGGCUAACUUCGUG
rnacentral:rRNA from 1 species